GUGUUCUCAUCUCAACCAGAAGGAAGAAUAGUAGUUCCCUGGUGUUUGGAAACUGAAGGCAAAGGAGAAAAGAAACAGAGAGGAUGAUUGGAUAUUCUUACAAGUAUCAGGCUGUGGAACAGAAGCUACUCACUUGCCUUGUGAUCUGUUAAUAGCUGAUUAAACUAUAAUAAAAGAAAUGUCACCAAGAUGAAACUAUGAAAGAAGAGGAGAGAAAGAAGAGGGAAACAAGUGAUGCCUGAGAAUUCUGAAUGGAAUAACUGCCAAAUUCUUUAGAGUUUAAAUAUGAUUAACAACCAUCACACCCUAACAGGGUGAGA